rnacentral:rRNA from 1 species
UACGAAGGGGGCUAGCGUUGCUCGGAAUCACUGGGCGUAAAGCGCACGUAGGCGGCUUUUUAAGUCAGAGGUGAAAUCCUGGAGCUCAACUCCAGAACUGCCUUUGAUACUGAGAGGCUUGAGUCCGGGAGAGGUGAGUGGAACUGCGAGUGUAGAGGUGAAAUUCGUAGAUAUUCGCAAGAACACCAGUGGCGAAGGCGGCUCACCGGCCCGGUACUGACGCUGAGGUGCGAAAGCGUGGGGAGCAAACAGG